GCCUGUCUGGCUUAGUGGGUAAAGCAUGUGACUCUUGAUCUCAGGGUCAUGAGUUCAAGCCCUAUGUUGGCCA
rnacentral:tRNA from 1 species